ACGGGCCGUGAGCCACGAUCAGAAACGUGGUCAUGGCACUGAAAGCCAACAAAGGUCAAGCUCUGCUCUGCGAGGAAACCUUGAUACAGAUCUCCAGCACCAGAGGACUGUCUGUUCUGUAAAAUGCAGAGGUGCUUCCAAGAUGACUCUCGCACUCAGAGAUACUCACGGUACUCCCAGGUUGCCGCCAGUGGGAUUUUGGCUGAUUAUCCCAGCCCACAGAACUGGCAGUGUACUCAGAGCUCUUGGCCAGGAACACAGAGCCAUUCCCAAGGCAGAAAAUUAGUCCUUAAAAUUACUGCUCUGGCCACUACAGCUGAGGAACAGUUUCAGUGCUAUACUUGUAAGAAGCAAUUCUCAUUUCCAUCAAAAAGUUUUCUGGCUAAAACUUAUUAAACUACAGCAGGAAUAGGGCUUGUAUCAAGUGUUCAAAGACAGCCUAGGGUGACUAUUAGAUACGGUCUGGGAAUCCAGCAAAGUGAUUCCUACUACUGGCAUGUCCCUUGACCACUGUAUCCUGUGAGAGUUACUGAUAUUACAAGCACAGCUCUGCAAAAACUCCUUGAAAGAAGGAUGAAGAACUAAGCCACAGAAGCUACUUCAAUUGCUACUUCAAACUCCCUGGGGAGUGAUCUGAGCUCAGGGAUGCAGUGUGGUCACACCCAGGCUGUCCAGAGCACACAGACCAUACACACACAAGACAGAACUUCCCUGCAGAUCUCCUCACAGGAUAUCCUGUGUGGUAUCUCUGUGGCAGCCAGACUUGGUUAUUUUAUAACUUUCAUCAGUUUAUGGUGUCACGAAUAAUUUCUGUUUCCUGCAGCCCGCCAGAACAGAAUUUUCAUGGCAUGAGACAGACAUUAUGUGCUGUGUACAUCUGUGUAUCACAGUGUAUGGGAGUGUCCAAGCACCCUGCCUGGAGAGGGUUACAGGGCUGUGUAGAGAUCCAAGCCAGGUACAUUUAUCUGUUCUGCCUACUGGUAGUCUGGAAGCAAAAUUUUCCCAAGAAACACAUGAUGGUUUCUAAUGGAACUAGCUAAUCCACUGAUGAAGGAAGCCCAGAAGUGAACUGCACUGUGUCUGUGCAGGAUAGACUGCCAUGGGACCACAAUGGAUGAAGGAAGUGGGGGCAUAGCCAUUUGAGAGUAUAGACACAUCCAGAUGAAAAAAGAUGUGUACUCAUGAGCUGAAGGAAGUUACAAAUGCAUUUAAGUCUGGGUUCUGCAGAGGAGUCCACAGAGACAGAACAAAGGUAGUGCCCUAAAGCAGCCAGUGAGACUGUCCCAAGAGUCUGUGAAACACAGGAACUUCAGCUAAAGGAGAGAGUGAUGCCAAGCACCUACUCCUUUGUUUCUUCUUCUACAUGUGUGACUGUUUUUUGCUUAUUACCACUGAUGUCUUAAGCAUCAGACACCAACUGAGUCUCCAUAAACAGUUGAUUUGGAAGAUUAAAUAUAUGUGGUCAAUUCUGUCUAUGAAAAUUCUUUUGAUGUACAGCUACAGCAGCGAGAAGGAAUCUGCAGCUGCAAGCUGAGGAGCAGGAAGG